GUGCUCACUUUGGCAGCACAUAUACUAAAAUUGAAGCAA
rnacentral:snRNA from 1 species